rnacentral:lncRNA from 1 species
GAUGCAAGCAGCAAAGAAAGGCGCAAUAUGACGUCAUUCUGCCAUUACGCUUUGUCGAAUAUAUAGAAUAUCACAGAAUAUUAUUUAUAAAUAAUAGACCGGUUACAACAUGUUGUUUAUGGUUCAGACAAGCCGAUAUAAGGGUGCGACCUCUAUUUAACAACCAACACGAUGUUUGUACUUAAAUUGAUUUUCGCCUAAACGAAUCAUCUGAUUUAAAUAAAAAAUAAUGGCAAAUGAA